AACGAACGCUGGCGGCGCGUCUUAAGCAUGCAAGUCGAACGGCAAGGCAGGUGCUUGCACCUGCCCUAGAGUGGCGGACUGGUGAGUAACACGUGGGUGACAUACCUUUUAGUUGGGGAUAGCUAUUAGAAAUAGUAGAUAAUACCGAAUGCGACCAUAACAGUUUGAGUGUUAUGAGGAAAGGAGCUAAGGCUUCGCUAAAAGAUUGGCCCGCGGCCCAUUAGCUAGUUGGUGAGGUAAAGGCCCACCAAGGCGAUGAUGGGUAUCCGGCCUGAGAGGGUGAACGGACACAUUGGGACUGAGAUACGGCCCAGACUCCUACGGGAGGCAGCAGCUAAGAAUAUUCCGCAAUGGACGAAAGUCUGACGGAGCGACGCCGCGUGGAUGAAGAAGGUCGAAAGAUUGUAAAAUCCUUUUGAAUAUGAAGAAUAAGUGUUGUAGGGAAUGAUAACACGAUGACCGUAGUAUUUGAAUAAGCAACGGCUAAUUACGUGCC
rnacentral:rRNA from 1 species